rfam:Triticum aestivum genome assembly, contig: Triticum_aestivum_CS42_TGACv1_scaffold_250863_3DL
AUAAUACUCACUCCGUCCGGAAAUACUUGUCUUAGAAAUGGAUAAAAUAGAUGUAUCUAUAACUAAAAUAAGUUUACAUACAAUCAUUUUUAAGACAAGUAUUUUCGAACGGAAGGAGUAGUAU